GCGGGCUGCACCGCCAGCGCCGAGCUGGCCGCCGACGGGCGCGCGGGGGAGGGAACGCGAGUGUCCGGCGCGGGGGCGCGCGGCGUGCGCGCGUGCACUCGCCGACUAGUGCACGACGGGCCUUUUAAGGAGUCUAAGAACUGAACGUCUACAAGAAUCACAUCAAGGAUGAUCACAACUGUCCUUCAUAAGUGUCACUGCACAGUCACACGCUUUAAGGACACAGCAAGCGCACGAGAGCCUGGUGAGCAGUUUGUCCUGGCCAUCUGGGGGCAAGCAGACCAGGGCAUCUCGCUCAGAAGGAAUGGAGGUGUCCACUUGGGGCAGAAGAGCCACUUGCUGCCCCACAGAUACUUCAAGUUGGGGCAGGCUCCCAGCCCCACAACGCUGUUCGAGACAGCUCUGCUGUCACUCACUUCCUGCCCGGGGACCACACGGCCUCCUCUCAUCGUGGGACGCACUUCCUGUUGACUGCCAGUUCCAUAGCAUAGAGAGCCAGGAGUACCUGCUCUGAGACCCAACACAGCCCCAGGGUCCCGACCCACACUGAUCAGCACCCCUCCAGGCCUGCCCUGGAGGACCCCAGUCUGCAGCCGCCUGAGACACGCCAUCCUUCCAGAGGUGGGCGGAUGAGCGGGGCAGGGAGCACUCUGCACAGCUCCAGCCCUGGGGUUAGCUCAGCUCAGCUCAGCGGGCUGAAAUCUCCCUGAUCCCGCCAAUCCUCACCCUCCUCUCUUCCCGACCAGGCUGUCCUUUCUUGCCUGCCUGCUCUGGUUCUAGAUGAGCCUGAGUCAACCAGAGCUCUGGGAUUAGGGGAGUUGCUGACCCCUGCUAUGGUCGAUCCUGGAUCCAUCUUGCCCAUCAAGAGCCCCCCCCACUGAGUUAGUAGUGGGCACUCGCUGGCCCUCUCUCUGGGGCCCCGGGUACCUGGGGAGAUCAAAUCUCCACCUACCAGAAACCGCUGAGGUGGGCUGGCCCAGUGGCUUAGCGGUUAAGUGCACGCGCUCCACUGCUGGCGGCCCGGGUUCGGAUCCCGGGCGCGCACCGACGCACCGCUUCUCCGGCCAUGCUGAGGCCACGUCCCACAUACAGCAACUAGAAGGAUCUGUAACUAUGACGUACAACUAUCUACUGGGGCUUUGGGGGAAAAAAUAAAUAAAUAAAUAAAAUUAUAAAAAAAAAGAAACCGCUGAGGGAGGGCCACAGGCAAAGAGCCUGAAGCGACACUCCAGGUCCCUGGGGAGGAGCUGGGUGCUCCCUGAAAGGGGCCCCCAGGUGAGAAGAACAGCAUAACCCAUCCCUGGAAGCCACUAGGAGAGGCUACUCCAGCCAGGCCUGCACCCUUCUGCCCCCACCUCCACGCCUUCAGCUCAGCGCCCUCCUCUCCUCUCUCCUGCCACCAUUAGCUUGUCGCCUCCUGGAGGCAGGGACUUUGCUUUACUGCGUUGGA